GAUAUGCACUAGCUCAAGUCAAGCUGGGUUGAGUACACUCCUAUGUAUUUAAAUAUAUUUAUAGUUUUUGGGAAACGAUAAUGUAGGCAUGUUUACACUUCCCUUUCCUGUCUGCUACUGCAUCCCCAGCACUUGAACGAUGGUUGGUUUCUAUUUGUUGCAAAAAAUGGACAUGGUGGUACCCAGCAUCAUCAAGGGACCUGUUCCAAGCUCUGCCCUCCAGUCUGCUCAGUGAGCCUAGAUGUUGGCUGACUCUGAAAAUCGUGGAAUAAUUUCAGAGAAGACAAAUGCAUAAAAGUGAGACCACCCCUGUUCCCAUCUGGAAGGUCACUCAUUCUAUAUUCACCAGAGCUCUUUGUCUUGUCCUCUGAAUGACUGUGCAUUUGAGAUUUUCCAUUGUUGUCCAGUUUUCACAUGCUUUGUAUUUCUCAGAGGUUCUCAAAUGUAAUGAACACUUCCUGUGCCCGGGAAGGAAGGCUUAGGGUCUUAAGCUGAUAAAUAAACA